UUAUAGCAUAGAAAAAAGAAAGGAAGGCAGCGCCACUAUAAACCACAUAAAUUAAAAGAGCACAGUGGUUUAUGUGGUUUAUAGUGGCGCUGCCUUCCUUUCUUUUUUCUGUACCAUUU